CUUCCCGGGAUUAGCCAGGCAGCUAGAGGAUGACUUAAUAAGGAGAGUGGAGAAACUGGCCAAUUAAUGAACAUGCCCUGAUCAUUAAUCCACCACUGAAGGAAGUCAGAGCAGAAACUCAAGCAGGGACUUGAAGAAGAAACCAUGGAGGAAUACGGCUUGCUGGCUCACCUAAGGAAGACCACUGAAGCCACCGCAGACAGCAGAACCUCAAUCAGCUUGAAAGAGAAUGGGCUCAACAAAAGAGCAAACUGUCAACAGUGAUGAUGAGGUGCAACAUUCAACUUCACAGUUCUUGGAAUCGACUCUUCGGUAAGAUUCAGUUCUGCAGAGGCCUUCUUACUUUCUGUCCUUUCAUGAUAGCUGUAGCAAGUCACUCUGAGAGGAGACCUUAACAAAAGGCAGCAGACUAUCCUGUAUCCUCAUCCUGUAUCCUCAUAUUCACUACUGUACACUGUACUGGUUGAGUUUGAAAGUCCUUCAGCAACUGACAAGCUGCAGCAAAGCUUGUUGUUUUUUUGAGAAAUGUUUCUCUCUGUCCAGUGGUUUCAUUUCCUGAGACUCAGAUAAACGUGGAUUUUCAGUGCUUAACAUGUUCAGUGUAUGCAUUAGUACCCAUAGACUCCAGUACUAAAGACAUACCAGAUCACAUAAACUAAGACACUAUUCCACAACUUCCUUAGUGUUCUCUUCACUUGAAUGGCCUGGCUGUGGAUCAGCAGCGGGUUCUGGUGGUCCCAGACAAUGUUCUUUAUUAAAUUCACGCCUCUGCUUUUUUUCAUUU
rnacentral:lncRNA from 1 species